UACGGGGGGGGCAAGCGUUGUUCGGAAUUACUGGGCGUAAAGGGCUCGUAGGUGGCCAACUAAGUCAGACGUGAAAUCCCUCGGCUUAACCGGGGAACUGCGUCUGAUACUGGAUGGCUUGAGUUUGGGAGAGGGAUGCGGAAUUCCAGGUGUAGCGGUGAAAUGCGUAGAUAUCUGGAGGAACACCGGUGGCGAAGGCGGCAUCCUGGACCGACAUUGACGCUGAGGAGCGAAAGCUAGGGGAGCAAACGGG
rnacentral:rRNA from 1 species